AUUGAACGCUGGCGGCAGGCCUAACACAUGCAAGUCGAGCGAGCGGCGGACGGGUGCGUAAUGUCUGGGAAACUGCCUGAUGGAGGGGGAUAACUACUGGAAACGGUUGCUAAUACCGCAUACCAUCAGAUUUGCCCAGAUGGGAUUAGCUAGUAGGUGGGGUAACGGCUCACCUAGGCGACGAUCCCUAGAUGGUCUGAGAGGAUGAUCAGCCACACUGGAACUGAGACACGGUCCAGACUCCUACGGGAGGCAGCAGUGGGGAAUAUUGCGCAAUGGACGAAAGCCUGAUGCAGCCAUGCCGCGUGUGUGAAGAAGGCCUUCGGGUUGUAAAGCACUGUCAGCGGGGAGGCGUUACCCGCAGAAGAAGCACCGGCUAACUCCGUGCCAGCAGCCGCGGUAAUUC
rnacentral:rRNA from 1 species